GAUGAACGCUGGCGGCGUGCCUAAUACAUGCAAGUCGAGCGAAUAGAUGAGGAGCUUGCUCCUCUGACGUUAGCGGCGGACGGGUGAGUAACACGUGGAUAACCUACCUAUAAGACUGGGAUAACUUCGGGAAACCGGAGCUAAUACCGGAUAAUAUAUUGAACCGCAUGGUUCAAUAGUGAAAGACGGUUUUGCUGUCACUUAUAGAUGGAUCCGCGCCGCAUUAGCUAGUUGGUAAGGUAACGGCUUACCAAGGCAACGAUGCGUAGCCGACCUGAGAGGGUGAUCGGCCACACUGGAACUGAGACACGGUCCAGACUCCUACGGGAGGCAGCAGUAGGGAAUCUUCCGCAAUGGGCGAAAGCCUGACGGAGCAACGCCGCGUGAGUGAUGAAGGUCUUCGGAUCGUAAAACUCUGUUGUUAGGGAAGAACAAAUGUGUAAGUAACUAUGCACGUCUUGACGGUACCUAAUCAGAAAGCCACGGCUAACUACGUG
rnacentral:rRNA from 1 species